GAACGCUGGCGGUAUGCCUUACACAUGCAAGUCGAACGGUAGAGGGGCAACCCUUGAGAGUGGCGAACGGGUGAGUAAUACAUCGGAACGUGCCCAGUCGUGGGGGAUAACGUAGCGAAAGCUACGCUAAUACCGCAUACGACCUGAGGGUGAAAGCGGGGGAUCGCAAGACCUCGCGCGAUUGGAGCGGCCGAUGGCAGAUUAGGUAGUUGGUGGGGUAAAGGCCUACCAAGCCUGCGAUCUGUAGCUGGUCUGAGAGGACGACCAGCCACACUGGGACUGAGACACGGCCCAGACUCCUACGGGAGGCAGCAGUGGGGAAUUUUGGACAAUGGGCGAAAGCCUGAUCCAGCCAUACCGCGUGCGGGAAGAAGGCCUUCGGGUUGUAAACCGCUUUUGUCAGGGAAGAAAUCUUCUGGGCUAAUACCUCGGGAGGAUGACGGUACCUGAAGAAUAAGCACCGGCUAACUACGUGCCAGCAGCCGCGGUAAUACGUAGGGUGCAAGCGUUAAUCGGAAUUACUGGGCGUAAAGCGUGCGCAGGCGGUUCCAUAAGACAGAUGUGAAAUCCCCGGGCUCAACCUGGGAACUGCAUUUGUGACUGUGGAGCUAGAGUACGGUAGAGGGGGAUGGAAUUCCGCGUGUAGCAGUGAAAUGCGUAGAUAUGCGGAGGAACACCAAUGGCGAAGGCAAUCCCCUGGACCUGUACUGACGCUCAUGCACGAAAGCGUGGGGAGCAAACACGAUUACAUACCCUGGUAGUCCACGCCCUAAACGAUGUCAACUGGUUGUUGGGAGGGUUUCUUCUCCUCACGAAGCUAACGCGUGAAGUUGAC
rnacentral:rRNA from 1 species